rnacentral:rRNA from 1 species
CUCCCAACCCCUGUGACAUACCUAUUUGUUGCCUCGGCGGUGCCUGUUCCGACAGCCCGCCAGAGGACCCCAAACCCUGAUUACAUUUAAGAAGUCUUCUGAGUAAACCGAUUAAAUAAAUCAAAACUUUCAACAACGGAUCUCUUGGUUCUGGCAUCGAUGAAGAACGCAGCGAAAUGCGAUAAGUAAUGUGAAUUGCAGAAUUCAGUGAAUCAUCGAAUCUUUGAACGCACAUUGCGCCCGCUAGUAUUCUGGCGGGCAUGCCUGUCCGAGCGUCAUUUCAACCCUCAAGCCCCCGGGCUUGGUGUUGGGGAUCGGCGAGCCUCCGCGCCCGCCGUCCCCUAAAUCUAGUGGCGGUCUCGCUGUAGCUUCCUCUGCGUAGUAGCACACCUCGCACUGGGAAACAGCGCGGCCACGCCGUUAAACCCCCAACUUCUGAACGUUUGACCUCGGAUCAGGUAGGAAUACCCGCUGAACUUAAGCAUAUCAAA